rnacentral:lncRNA from 1 species
GUCUUGAUAAUUUUAUUUGAUGAUGAUCAAACUAGGAUAUGAAUUGUUUAAUAGAAAUCAAGGGUGAUCAAAUCAGUAGUGUUCAAUAAGAGUCAAGAUGGAGGCCAACACGAUGCUCGAUGAUCAAAGAUUAGUUUGAUUAAAUAAUUUUAUUUAAUCAAGAUCGUAUUAAGAUACAAUUGGCUCCAUAAAGAUCAAAUA